rnacentral:lncRNA from 1 species
AUGCUUGUGGAUGAUAAAGAGCUGGAGCUGAGAGAAUUACAAGGAAGCCCAAAUGCACUGGGGUUCUCUGAUCAUUUUACUACUAAUGGAGAUCAUGCCUGUUCACUUUGCAAAGGUUGGUUUUGGGGAAGAACGGAACAAAUUUUCCACUCUAAAAUGAAAUGCUGUAAUAUGCAUGUGUCUGCAACUGCAUGUAUAAUAUUUUGAGCUGUGGAUAAGGAAUUUUUGGGAUUUCAGAUUUGCUGGCCAAGUUUCCUCCAAAUUCUGUGAAGAUGAAGCAGCCAUUCUGUAUGUAA